rnacentral:rRNA from 1 species
CAGCGGCGCACGGGUGAGUAACACGUAGGUAACCUGCCCUCGAGCUCGGAAUAACCUACCGAAAGGUGGGCUAAUACCGGAUAUGACCACGGGAGCCUCGGCUCUGCGGUGAAAGGUGGCCUCUACUUGUAAGCUACCACUCAAGGAUGGGCCUGCGUGCCAUUAGCUAGUUGGCGAGGUAACGGCUCACCAAGGCGAUGAUGGCUAGCUGGUCUGAGAGGAUGGCCAGCCACACUGGGACUGAAACACGGCCCAGACUCCUACGGGAGGCAGCAGUAGGGAAUAUUGCGCAAUGGGCGAAAGCCUGACGCAGCGACGCCGCGUGGGUGAUGAAGGCCUUCGGGUCGUAAAGCCCUGUCGAGGGGGACGAAUCGGUCUCGACCUAACACGUCGGGGCCCUGACGGUACCCCUAAAGGAAGCACCGGCUAACUCCGUGCCAGCAGCCGCGGUAAUACGGAGGGUGCAAGCGUUGUUCGGAAUCACUGGGCGUAAAGCGCGUGUAGGCGGCCUGCCAAGUCUGAUGUGAAAGCCCGGGGCUCACCCCCGGAAGUGCAUUGGAAACUGUCAGGCUCGAGUCCCGGAGAGGAGGGUGGAAUUCCUGGUGUAGCGGUGAAAUGCGUAGAUAUCAGGAGGAACACCGGUGGCGAAGGCGGCCCUCUGGACGGUGAC